rnacentral:rRNA from 1 species
CCUACGGGAGGCAGCAGUGGGGAAUAUUGGACAAUGGGGGCAACCCUGAUCCAGCCAUGCCGCGGGUGUGAAGAAGGCCCUCGGGUUGUAAAGCACUUUCAGUGAGGAAGAACGCCUGGUGGUUAAUACCCAUCAGGAAAGACAUCACUCACAGAAGAAGCACCGGCUAACUCCGUGCCAGCAGCCGCGGUAAUACGGAGGGUGCGAGCGUUAAUCGGAAUUACUGGGCGUAAAGCGCGCGUAGGUGGCUUGAUAAGCCGGUUGUGAAAGCCCCGGGCUCAACCUGGGAACGGCAUCCGGAACUGUCAAGCUAGAGUGCAGGAGAGGAAGGUAGAAUUCCCGGUGUAGCGGUGAAAUGCGUAGAGAUCGGGAGGAAUACCAGUGGCGAAGGCGGCCUUCUGGACUGACACUGACACUGAGGUGCGAAAGCGUGGGUUGCAAACAGGAUUAGAUACCCCAGUAGUC